rnacentral:rRNA from 1 species
UUCUACGGGGCGCAGCAGUAGGGAAUCUUCCACAAUGGGCGAAAGCCUGAUGGAGCAACGCCGCGUGGGUGAAGAAGGUCUUCGGAUCGUAAAACCCUGUUGUUAGAGAAGAAAGUGCGUGAGAGUAACUGUUCACGUUUCGACGGUAUCUAACCAGAAAGCCACGGCUAACUACGUGCCAGCAGCCGCGGUAAUACGUAGGUGGCAAGCGUUAUCCGGAAUUACUGGGUGUAAAGGGAGAGUAGGCGGCAAGGUAAGCGAUAUGUGAAAGCCUUAGGCUUAACCAAAGGAUUGCAUAACGAACU